rnacentral:tRNA from 1 species
GGCAGUGUAGCCUACUGGGUAGAGCAAGGACCCUGCAGUCAGAAGGACCUGGGUUCUAAUCCCAGCUCCGCCA